GGAGUUAGCCGGUGCUUCUUCUGUGAGUGAUGUCCUUCCUGCCGGCUAUUAACCCGCAGGCCUUCUUCCUCACUGAAAGUGCUUUACAACCCGAAGGCCUUCUUCACACACGCGGCAUGGCUGGAUCAGGGUUGCCCCCAUUGUCCAAUAUUCCCCACUGCUGCCUCCCGUAGGAGUCUGGGCCGUGUCUCAGUCCCAGUGUGGCUGAUCAUCCUCUCAGACCAGCUACGGAUCGUCGCCUUGGUGAGCCGUUACCUCACCAACCAGCUAAUCCGACAUAGGCUCAUCCGAUAGCGCGAGGCCCGAAGGUCCCCCGCUUUCCCCCGUAGGGCGUAUGCGGUAUUAGCCUGGGUUUCCCCAGGUUAUCCCCCACUACCGGGCAGAUUCCUAUGCAUUACUCACCCGUCCGCCGCUCGCCACCAGGGAGCAAGCUCCCCGUGCUGCCGCUCGACUUGCAUGUGUUAGGCCUGCCGCCAGCGUUCAAUCUGAACCAGAUCAAUUCUGA
rnacentral:rRNA from 1 species